GACGUAGGAGGCGAGCGUUGUCCGGAUUCAUUGGGCGUAAAGAGCGCGCAGGCGGCUUGGUAAGUCGGAUGUGAAAUCCCGAGGCUCAACCUCGGGUCUGCAUCCGAUACUGCCCGGCUAGAGGUAGGUAGGGGAGAUCGGAAUUCCUGGUGUAGCGGUGAAAUGCGCAGAUAUCAGGAGGAACACCUAUUGCGAAGGCAGCUCGCUGGGACGUAACUGACGCUGGAGACGCGAAAGCCGUGGGGAGCAAACAGG
rnacentral:rRNA from 1 species